GCUCCCUUUCUUGUGCUUUCGCUUCUCACCCGGCAUCUCUCACCGCUCACUCAGCUUGCUCAUCAUCACUUCAGUGAGAAAGGCAUUACUUUGAACAAGAAGAAACCUGUUGUGGAUCUAAGGUGCUGACCUCCCGCUUUGAAGGUUCUAGUGGUGUGGGUUGUCUUCUCUUAAUCUGACCUUGAAAGUCCAAUUUCAGUGCCGUCAUGUUUGCAGAAUGAAGCAGAACGGAUCAUAAUGUGCUUUUCAGGUUGACUGGUCAGUAAAGAAUCAUCAUUCAGGUGGUGGUUUUCUAGAAGCUCGUUGGUAGGGAAAUGUGAAAGAGAUCCAUUCUGAAGAAAUUGAUUAUACUCUUCCAUUGCUAUUCAAAUAAAAGGAAUUAGCUGCUAAUCAACUAAAGUUGGCGUGUGUUAUAAGAACUCUCGUCACUUAAAUAAUUGG